rnacentral:lncRNA from 1 species
AGUUCCCAGGCUAGGGGUCAAAUCAGAGCUACAGCUGACAGCCUACAGCACAACCAUAGCAAAAUGGAAUCUGAGCCCUCUCUGCGACCUACACCACAGCUCACUGCAACACGGGAUCCUUAACCCACUAAGUAAGGCCAAGGAUCAAAUCCGAAUCCUCAUGGAUACUAGUCAAUUCGUUUCCACUUUGCCACAACAGUAACUCCUUAAAGCAGAACUUUUAGAACAUGCUGUAAGGCUCUCAGAUGGGGUGUGAUAGAAGCGACAUUUCCCUCAGUUCUUUGUUUAUGAAACCUUUGAUGCAGAGCAUCACAGAAGAGGUAUGUCCCCCAAAACACAUUUGCUAAAUCCGUCCUAGCAGAUAUUAGGGUCAUAGAGGAUUAAUCAGGAAGAACUUUGCAGAAGUAGGAGCAGAAUUUCUAAAGAGAGAGGUUAAUAAUUUGAUGGAGAAAGGAGAGGAAGACAUGGUAGACUGAAAGACCAUACAAUGGCUCAAAAAUUAAACAUGUUUCCAAGGGUGAGAAUAAUCUAUGUUCAUGAAAGAGACAUGGAUUCCAAACCAGGCAUGGUUAAGUGAGCUUUCUCUAAGAACUGCAGCAGUCCUAAGAAAUCAGGUAACUGGUAAAGUCAACCAGCACUUUGAAUUACAAUUACUAUGAGGUCAAUGACAAAAUGGUGUACAAAUCUUGAAGAAUCUACUAAUCUUACAGACAACCUAUCACAGAAGAGAAUUCCUAAAUUUUUUUUAAAUUAUUGUUUUGAAUAACUCAAUAGUUUUCAGAAAUUUACAAUGACUUGAAUAUUCCAGAGCUAGUAUAUAUUAAAUUAGAAGGGUUUUUAUUUGUUUGUUUGUUUUUUAGGGCUGCAGGUACAGAAUAUGGAAGUCCCCAGGCUAGGGGUCAAAUCAGAGCUACAGCUGCUGGCCUACACCACAGCCACAGCCACAGCCACGUCAGAUCCGAGCCUCACCUGUGACAACACAGCUCACAGCAACACCGGAUCCUUAACCCACUGAGUGGCGUCAGGGAUUGAACUCACAUCCUCAUGGAUAUUAGUCGGGUUCGUUUCUGCUGAGCCACAGUGGGAGCUCCUUAAUUAGUUUUUAUUAAUUUGUUUCUUCCAAAAGUUUUAUUUGUCCUAGGUAAAGCUGUAUGCUUUAUACGACAAAUUCAUUGUACUGUCUGAUGAAUUUUUUCCUUCUAGAAUGCAGAAUUACCAACCUUAAGGCAGAAAUCCUGCCAAUUAUAAUCCUAUCCUCACAAGACAUCAUCAAAAUGCUGAUUCAUACUUCACUAAAUAAGCUGCAUAUUAAUUACUCAUUUCAGUGUCAGAGUAUUCAUUACAUAUUGCUCUUUCCAAGGAGAGAAAGAUAAGGAGAUGCUGAUGCUUCCAGGGGCAUUUCAUUAAAAUGCAUAAUGCAGCAAAAUAAGUUACUUUUGCCCUUUAAAUGAAUUCUGUAGAACAAAUUUGUGGAAAUAAUAAUGGAAUUGAAGGCUUCAAUAUUUGGAGAUAAAAAUACAGUUUUAGUCUCCUCUUGUGAAUGCUUUUGGGGGCUCAUAUCUAUACAUUAUGUUAUGGUUUCUCCAGUCUCUACCUCUAUGCUCUAGGCCCCUAGUUCCUCACUGCACACCUCCUUUCACCAGUAUGGCAGGUUUUAGCAAUGUUGGAGGCUAAGAAGAGAACCUGGUGUAGAAGGAACUCAUCCUGGACUUGGGUUAAGUUCACCUGCUGGAUUUCGGGUCAGCUCAAGCAAGUCCUAUGUACAAAGGCAAUGAUGCACCUAAAUAGCGCUUAAAUAGUGCUGUGGUCAGCAUCCAGGUGGCCAGAAGCACUUAAAUGGUGGCUGUUAGGUUAAUGAUAGUUAUAAUUAUGACAAGGAUGAAGAUGAGAAUGAGAAUGAAGUUGAUGCUGUGGCUUUCUGGUGAACUAGAGGGACAAUACUUAUCAAAGUUCCUCACUUUGAUGUCAAGAAGUCUCUUGGAACCAGAAUUCAAGCUAUGCUCCCUUCUAGGACUUAGGCGCAUCUAGGUAUAGCUAGAUAAUCUGAUGGCCCAAAGGCUUUUUGGAUGGAGGCUGAAAAGCCUAUUUGUAGGAAGUUUAUGCUGAGGGAAGUGAAGAUAUAACAAGAUGACCCAUUACCAGGGCUUAGUUAUCAGAAUGGAGUCCUGGGUACAUUCUGGUAGACACAUUUAAGAUUUGUCCAUGCCCCAAGAUCCUGGAUACAUGUGUAAGCAAGACAGAGAGAGAGAACUAUAAUUGCUAAUUAACAUGAUUAUUUAUACUAAAUUGUAUAAUUUGUCUGCUGUGAUCCCACCUUAUGAGAACAUUAGGAAAAGGGGAGAAAAUCUCUGACACAAUUCCCCUGGCAAUUUGGUGUGAUGGAGCCUCAGGUCUUUAUGGGGAAUCAGUCCAGCUGCUGACUGUGCAGAGCAGAGCCAGAUGAGGUUCUGAAAUGGCCACGGAAGGAGCCUGGAGAAGGGGAACCCCAAGCCCAGGAGAGGGUAUGCAGGGUGGUGUCAGGGAGGCACCAAGCACACAAGAGCAAUGGGCAGACAAAAUUUCCUGGUAGUGCCGGGUGGAUCCAGGGUGAAACUGCUUGUAAGCUCAUUUAAGACACCCUACAGAGAGUCCCAGAAAUACUGGUGGGUGGGCUGGCAGAGGAGUGCUGAAAGUCCUUUGCCAACAGGUGAGGAAGGCCAGAAAAACUAAUGGAAUUUGAGCUUUUACUAUGAAUGUGACCUUACAGGUUUUUCUGGCUGAUGAGUUCUGGGACAAACAUGUGGCAUAUAUGAACCUGGAGAGAGGUCCUCUUUCUGGCUUUCUAAUAUAGAACAGAAGUCUGCUAGCUGCCAUUCUAGGAAAAUAAAUUUGAGGACUCAAAAGAACUGGUCAUAUAUGCCAAAUUUCCUGUUUUCUUUCAUUUUUCAAACAUAGGAACAAAGCAUGGCAGGUGGGGUAAUCCUUCUAGGCCAGAAAACAAGAUGGGAGAAGAGAAGCAGAGAGGGAGACAGCCUAGGGGUCAGUGGGCACCUGCCUUGUAUAGGCUCUUGGUUGGAUUUCUUUCGUGGCCACUGUUUCAGCUGAUUCUCAAACAAACAAAUCUGAGUCAAGUAUUAUCACCAUUUUAAAGCAAACAGCUAGCUGAAUUGCAAAGGGAUAAAAUAACUUAUCAAAGAUCACAUAACUUCUAAGCGUUAGAGCAAAAAUUUGAACCGAAGUCAGUACGACAUCAAAGCCCAUGCCUACACCCCAAGCAUGAGCAAGUCACCCUGCUAGGGUGCAGAAAGAAGACAUUGAAAUUCCUAUUUCUAUUUCUUCUUGACUUAUGCUUGUCAGUAGGGCCAUUUUAGUCCAGAUCACAUAGUAACAUACCACACAGGGUUCACAAAAUAUCCUGAGAGAUGAGCUGAGAAAAAUGACAGUGGUCUCCUCACUCACUCAUCAGUAUUAUGAUCGUAUUAUGAUGUGCUAUAGUUUAUGAUGUGCUGUCAAUGAUGUGCUUAUCAUUUAUAGCAGAUAAGUCGGUUAUAUCAUGAUGACAUAAUGGGUGCUGUCUCAAAGUCAGGCAAAAAAAAAUUACCAAGCCUAUUUGAGGUAUGAAUAGAUAUCUAACAUUGUAAAUUUUGCCUUAGUGUAUGUUACAUGUUUGCAUAUACUAUGCUUUUGAGGGUAACUUUUCCAGUUAUGCAUAUUGUUAAAACCAGGUAUGUCUACUUAGAAGUCAAUCUAUGAAUCACUGUGUUUCAAACAUGAAAUAAAUAAUUUCAAAAAUUAAAAAUAUUUGUAAUAAAUUCAGUAUUAAUAAAGUCUAUCACUAGUAAGUUUAGUACUUCAUGUGGAACAAAAUGAUUUUGUCCUCAAUGAAUAUAAAGUUUUAAAAUAUUGCAUGUUACAGCAUUAUCUGACCUUUAAACUUUUCUCUUUUACAAUAAAAUCGACAUGACAUAUUAGUUCAGUGGUAUGUUAUUUAUGAACAAAUAAGUUUAAUUUUAUUGAGGAUCCAUGUUCAAAAGUCUAAAAGGUGUGUUAUCAAAAAAAUUUUUGCUGGGUGCUGUGAAUAUUGUGUGGUAUAUAAAAACUUUUGAAAAAAUAUUUUUUGAAUAGAAGAAUAAAUACCAAAUAGGUAUACACUUAACGUCAUAAAGUAGGGGAUGUUUGGAAAACAAAAAUAAAGGGAGAUGCCUUAAUUUUAAUAAGAAGAAGAUGUGGUAUAUAUACAAUGGAAUAAUACUCAGCCAUAAAAAAGAACAAAAUGAUGCCAUUUGCCGCAACAUGGAUGCAACUAGAGAUUCUCAUACUAAGUGAAAUAAGUCAGAAGAAGAAAGAAAAAUAUCAUAUGCUAUCACCUAUAAGUGGAAUUUAAAAUAUGGCACAAAUGAUCCUAUCUAUAAAACAGAAAUAGACUCACAGAAAUGAAGAACAGACUUGUGGUUGCCAAGGGGGAUGUGAAAGGAAGUGGGAUGGAGGGGGAGUUUGGUGUUGUAGGUGCAAACUAUUACAUUUAAAAUGCAUAAGCGGGAGUUUCCAUCAUGGCUCAGGGGUUAACGAAUCUGACUUGGAACCAUGAGGUUGCGGGUUCGAACCCUGGCCUUGCUCAGUGGGUUGAGGAUCUGGUGUUGCUAUGAGCUGUGGUGUAGGUUGCAGACUCAGCUCGGAUCCCACGUUGCUGUGGCUGUGGCAUAGGCCAGCCGGCCACAGCUCAGAUAAGACCCCUAGCCUGGGAACCUCCAUGUGCCGUGGAAGCGGCCCUAGAAAAGGCAAAAAAGACAAAAAAAAAAAAAAAAGAAAGAAAAAAGGGUAAGCAAUGAGGUCCUACUGUAUAGCACAGGUAACUAUAUCCAAUCUCUUGGGGUAGAACAUGAUGGAAGAUAGUAUGAGAAAAAUAAUGUGUGUGUGUAUGUGUGUGUGUAUGUGUAUAUAUAAAUAUAUAUAUACACACAUACAUAUAUAUGUAUAUAUGUAUGAGUGGGUCACUAUGCUAUACAGCAGAAAUUGAUGCAACACUGUAAAUUAAAGGUACUCUAAUAAAAAUAAAAUUUAAAAAGAAAGGUACUGAAAAAUAAAGUAAAAAUCAGGAAGUUCCCUCCCUUCCCCCAAAAAAGAAGAAGAUUGAAAUCCUCAGAGGGUGACCAGACAUCUCCUUUAGCCUUGACUUGUACUUGUUACUCCAACAUCUCUUCCAGAGGACACCCCUUUCACUCUCAGAAUGAUCUAGUACAGAUGAUAAAUUCUGUGGUCAUGUUAAUUAUACAGAAAACUUUGUAAAUUUUCAACUUCUUCAUUUCACCCUAUUUCUCUCAUUUUUCACCUUUCUACUCUUGACUCAAAAGAGAAACUUAUCUCUGUUUUCAUGGCCAGCCCUGUCAUCUGUAUUAAUAGCCCCCAAGCUAUGACAAGUUUAUGUCAUGAUCUUCCUUCCUGAUUAAAGCAACCUCUUAGGUGCCCUCUUCUGCCUAUAAACAUAUUUAAGUAUGGGACAGAAUUGGAAUUCACAAUCAGAUCUUUCUGACUGAAAAUUCCAUAGCAUUUACACACACACACACACACACACACACACACCCCUGUAUAUAUAGAGACUUUAUAUAACCUUUUUUGAACAUUUUUCAUAUUUUAUUUUAAAAAUUCCCUGAAAGGAAGUUACUUGCUACAUCUGCCUCUUAAAGCUUCUGACAUCAUUUUCUUAAAGCUUUCCAAUGACAGUGCCACUUCAUAUACCCUAUUCUCUACUUCCACCUACAGAAAUUUAAUGAGAACCUCACUAGAGGUUGGAACAGGGAUCCCAACCCUUUGACCAAAGAGUGGUCCUCCUUUACCUGCGCAGCCAAAUCGAUUGAACUGGUGACCUUCACAUGGCCACAACCAUAUCAGCCUCCUACCUAAAGCCAUUUGUUUAGCCCCCUUCCCUCUGUAUCUUUACCUGCAUAUUUGGAAUUACUGACCAGAUUUUCAUUUUCUUAAAAAGUCUCUAUUAUUUUGAUACAUUUCAGGAUAAUGCAGGGUAUAGUAUAAAUGCUAUGGAAUUUUCAGUCAGAAAGAUCUGAUUGUGAAUUCCAGUUCUGUUCCACAGUAUUGUUCAGUGACCUCACCCAAGUUAUUUGCUUCUUUGAACUUUGAUUUCAUCACCUAUCAAAUGGAAUUAAUUCAUGGGCCAAUUAUCACUAAGAGUUACUAAAGACUGUAUUCAUAUGGAGACUGGCCCAUGUUUGUUAAAGUUUUCAACUGCCUUAAAUGGCAGAAUUCAUUAAGCACAUUAACUUGCAACAGAAUCAAAAGUGCUGCAAAAGUCACUUGUGAUGCAGUAUGUACUCUCCAUAUCUGAGUCUAGACUGUUUAGGGCAAUGACACCAUAUGUUUCUAUGAGAACUCAAGAGAAAUAAAUGUACUGAGAAACUUUCUGCAUGGUGCCCAAGAUCUGACUUAUUUUCCUACAUUUAUGUUGAAUAAUUUUUUUCUCAUUCUGUUUAUAUAAUAUGCAAAUAAAAGGAAGAAAGAUAUGAAAGAAUGUAAGGGAACUGUGUAACAGAAAAACUUCUGAAGCUAUCCCUAAGUGCCUGAGGAAGGAGCAAGACUGCAGCCUGCAAGGAAAUACACUGACUCUCCCUCAGAACCGCAGGUGAGAGACAUUCAGUAGUUAGCGGGUGAGGGGGCUCUGAAGAGCCUUGGGGGGACCAUACAAACCAGAGUCCACUUUAAACACCUGCCAAGCCACGGCGCACUGCCAGCGCAGACAGACUGCGCACCGUUAAAUAAUGCUCCCUCUUCCUUCCCACCUCCCCCCAUCCCAGACUCCACAGGAAUAUGGACUGGGAAGAGCAGAAGAGUUUAGAAAAACAGCUGAACACACUGCCUUUCUUCAAUCACAGACUUUCUACCUGCAACAAUCCCAAACUGGAGAAAGAAGAGUCACCUCUCCUUAAAAUCAAAUUGGCAGUUUUGAUAAUUAUGUGGGACUGGACACUAUAUUUACUUAUUGGAAUAUAUGUUUUAUGUCUGGUGACCAAAAGCAAUCAGAAAAAGCAAGGGAUUGUCUAAGUUUUCUCCCAAGGGAAAAAAAAUCAGAGUUAACAAGAUGCAAAAAUAAGAUUGUGUAGAUGUUCAGUAAUCUCAGAACUCCCUUCACUGAGACACUGGUAUAGGCUGCGCCCCAAGCUGCAGGUGCAUACCGUAAAUGCAAAGCUGACAUGACUUAGCUUUAGGCUUGAGAAUUCCAUUGUAAUGGUCAACACUGUAAAACCAAGGCAUGAAAGUGGAACCAUGCUCUGCUAUGUUGACUGGAAUUAAAAGUUGUAACAGGAGAAAGAAUUAUGGAAAGUGAAGUUAGGACAGGGAUUCUAGUGGAAAGGGCUAAGACAAAGGAUGUUACAGUUGGCUUUAAAGACUUCAAGUACCAAGAGUCCCUAAGUUUACACUGCCUUCCAACAGCCCUGAGCUCAUAAGCCAAACCUCUGUCCUGCCACUGCCAAGCACAUAUUUGUGGAUCAGCAGCACUGAAAUUACAGAGAGAGAAAAGAGCUCUUUCUUUACCUAUGAUCUGAGAAGUUAAAAUUUUUAUCUCAACUUGGUUCUUUGAAGAGCAGGAGAAAAUGUUACGGAAAAGUUCCCAUCCUCUAAUAAAAGACUGGGCAACUAUAGACAUGAAGUUUGCCUCCAUCUAGCAACUGCAUGUGGUGAUUCAGAGGCAGAAUUCCUAGGCUGGGGAGAAGGCGAGAGCCUCAGGGCUAUAGACCAAGGAAACAACGCUUUAUAAUCUACUGAACAAAUGAUAAGUCAAAUUACAGAAAACACAGAACUGCAGAGAUAAAAGCACAUUCCCUGGGGCCAGGAAAUUGUAGAGCAUUUAUCUAGCACGCUGAAAAUGAGAGAAUUUCCCUGAGCCCACUCUCUAUAUUUAUCUUUCUUGUUGUUAUUUUUCUGUCUUCAUUUCUCAUUUCCUGUAUCUUAGUUACAUUUUUAGUAAUCAAUACAUAUGGAGGUAAGUCAGUAUUUUAAAUAAAUUAAAUGCAUAUAUAUAUAAAUUAAUUCAAACAUUACAAAAUUAUAUUUGCCUCUAAAUAGUGAUACUCUUUCUGAAAGCAAAAAAAAAAAAAAUCUUAAUCCAUAAAGACUGAAUUAACCAAAAUAGAGCACGAUAUGACAAAAAUUUUAACAUAGUGGCUAAGAAUAAAUCAUCUUGAUUUUAAUAUUUGUUGCUGGGAAACUUCUAUUUUUCCACAUUUCUUUAUAAAA